rnacentral:rRNA from 1 species
AACUAACGCUGGCGGCGUGCCUAACACAUGCAAGUCGAACGAGAAAGUUGGCUUCGGCCGAUGAGUAAAGUGGCGCACGGGUGAGUAACACGUGGAUAAUCUGCCCUUUAGUUUGGAAUGACGUACCGAAAGGUGCGCUAAUACCGGAUAAUACUGAGUGACUACUGUCGUUUAGUCAAAGAAGGCUUCUGUUUACAUGCUUUUGCUGAAGGAUGAGUCCGCGUACCAUUAGCUAGUUGGUAGGGUAAUGGCCUACCAAGGCGACGAUGGUUAGCUGGUCUGAGAGGAUGAUCAGCCACACUGGAACUGAGACACGGUCCAGACUCCUACGGAGGGCAGCAGUGAGGAAUAUUGCGCAAUGGGGGCAACCCUGACGCAGCAACGCCGCGUGAGUGAGGAAGGUUUUCGGACCGUAAAGCUCUGUCGAGCGGGAAGAAAUGCAUGGUGGCUAAUAUCCAUCAUGCUUGACGGUACCGCUAAAGGAAGCACCGGCUAACUCCGUGCCAGCCGCCGCAGUAAGAC